CAUUCUGUGUUUGUCAUUCUCACGCUCACUCUCACUCUCGCGAUUUUCAUCUCCACUGCCUACACCCACUGAUCGACUCUCUCUGUCUUCGCAAGAUGGACUAAUCGACUAAUCGACCAAUCGACCUCAUCGCACACCUCACAGUCUCUCACUCUCUGGGUUUGCAUUUACUACACCGAUCGACUUUCUCUCAUCGCAAAAUCGACCGAUCGAUUAACUCUCUCAUCGCAUCGAUCGACCUCACAAAUGGGAAAGGUUCUGAACCUCUUUUCAAUCCUUGUAAAAGUCAAUCACCUAGAGCCUAUGGCAGUUGCCUAGAAAUAUCUGAAACAAACUACUAAAGAGAAGACAAAGUGAAUUGAAGCAAGCAAACCCAUGUUACUACUUGUAAGGGGCUUAAAGGGCUUUUGGUAUUAAUGUUUAGUUUUCUUUCUUUUUAUUUUUCUCAGUUCUUAUUACAAGGAAAAAUAAUGAUGUGAUCACAUCGCAUGGGAUUCACUUCUAUUAUGAGUAGAUACUAUUGUAAAAGAGUGUGUUGUUAUAAUCUUACUCAUGUAUAUAUAGGCAAAAUUAUGUUGCCCGUACGUGUGGAUUGAAUUUCAAGUAUAACUUAUUUUGGAGAAUUGAAGAGAUGUUUGUGUAUUAUUUUGAUUU